GACAGAGGUGCCGAGCGUUAGGCGGAAUCACUGGGCUUAAAGCGUGUGUAGGCGGACCGUUAAGUACCUUGUGAAAUCCCCCGGCUCAACCGGGGAACGGCUGGGUAUACUGGCGGUCUUGAGCCAUCCAGGGGCAGUCGGAACAGACGGUGGAGCGGUGAAAUGCGUAGAUAUCGUCUGGAACGCCGAAGGUGAAAACAGAACUGCUGGGGAUGAGCUGACGCUGAGACACGAAAGCCAGGGGAGCGAACGGG
rnacentral:rRNA from 1 species